GUUAAAAUCAGUCUGAUCCAUGCAGCUUUAAUCCACAUCUCUGUGCACAUUUAUAUCGGAGAAACAAAGAAUGUGACGGCAGAUAAGAACCAUUCAGCCCAUCUAUUCUGCCCAAUUCUCUAAAUACUUUCAUUAGUCCCUAGCCUUAUCUUAUAGUUAGGAUAGCCUUAUGUCUAUCCCACACAUGCUUAAACUCCUUUACUGUGUUAACCUCUACCACUUCAGCUGGAAGGCUAUUCCAUGCAUCCACUAC